rnacentral:rRNA from 1 species
GAUGAACGCUGGCGGCGUGCCUAAUACAUGCAAGUCGAGCGAACGGACGAGAAGCUUGCUUCUCUGAUGUUAGCGGCGGACGGGUGAGUAACACGUGGAUAACCUACCUAUAAGACUGGGAUAACUUCGGGAAACCGGAGCUAAUACCGGAUAAUAUUUUGAACCGCAUGGUUCAAAAGUGAAAGACGGUCUUGCUGUCACUUAUAGAUGGAUCCGCGCUGCAUUAGCUAGUUGGUAAGGUAACGGCUUACCAAGGCAACGAUGCAUAGCCGACCUGAGAGGGUGAUCGGCCACACUGGAACUGAGACACGGUCCAGACUCCUACGGGAGGCAGCAGUAGGGAAUCUUCCGCAAUGGGCGAAAGCCUGACGGAGCAACGCCGCGUGAGUGAUGAAGGUCUUCGGAUCGUAAAACUCUAUUAUUAGGGAAGAACAUAUGUGUAAGUAACUGUGCACAUCUUGACGGUACCUAAUCAGAAAGCCACGGCUAACUACGUGCCAGCAGCCGCGGUAAUACGUAGGUGGCAAGCGUUAUCCGGAAUUAUUGGGCGUAAAGCGCGCGUAGGCGGUUUUUUAAGUCUGAUGUGAAAGCCCACGGCUCAACCGUGGAGGGUCAUUGGAAACUGGAAAACUUGAGUGCAGAAGAGGAAAGUGGAAUUCCAUGUGUAGCGGUGAAAUGCGCAGAGAUAUGGAGGAACACCAGUGGCGAAGGCGACUUUCUGGUCUGUAACUGACGCUGAUGUGCGAAAGCGUGGGGAUCAAACAGGAUUAGAUACCCUGGUAGUCCACGCCGUAAACGAUGAGUGCUAAGUGUUAGGGGGUUUCCGCCCCUUAGUGCUGCAGCUAACGCAUUAAGCACUCCGCCUGGGGAGUACGACCGCAAGGUUGAAACUCAAAGGAAUUGACGGGGACCCGCACAAGCGGUGGAGCAUGUGGUUUAAUUCGAAGCAACGCGAAGAACCUUACCAAAUCUUGACAUCCUUUGACAACUCUAGAGAUAGAGCUUUCCCCUUCGGGGGACAAAGUGACAGGUGGUGCAUGGUUGUCGUCAGCUCGUGUCGUGAGAUGUUGGGUUAAGUCCCGCAACGAGCGCAACCCUUAAGCUUAGUUGCCAUCAUUAAGUUGGGCACUCUAAGUUGACUGCCGGUGACAAACCGGAGGAAGGUGGGGAUGACGUCAAAUCAUCAUGCCCCUUAUGAUUUGGGCUACACACGUGCUACAAUGGACAAUACAAAGGGCAGCGAAACCGCGAGGUCAAGCAAAUCCCAUAAAGUUGUUCUCAGUUCGGAUUGUAGUCUGCAACUCGACUACAUGAAGCUGGAAUCGCUAGUAAUCGUAGAUCAGCAUGCUACGGUGAAUACGUUCCCGGGUCU